rnacentral:rRNA from 1 species
GCACAAGCGGUGGAUGAUGUGGAUUAAUUCGAUGCAACGCGAAGUAACCUUACCUACCCUUGACAUGUCCGGAACUUGCCAGAGAUGGCUUGGUGCCCGAAAGGGAAUCGGAACACAGGUGCUGCAUGGCUGUCGUCAGCUCGUGUCGUGAGAUGUUGGGUUAAGUCCCGCAACGAGCGCAACCCUUAUCAUUAGUUGCUACGCAAGGGCACUCUAAUGAGACUGCCGGUGACAAACCGGAGGAAGGUGGGAUGACGUCAAGUCCUCAUGGCCCUUAUGGGUAGGGCUUCACACGUCAUACAAUGGUCGGUACAGAGGGUUGCCAAGCCGCGAGGCGGAGCCAAUCCCACAAAGCCGAUCGUAGUCCGGAUUGUUCUCUGCAACUCGAGAGCAUGAAGUCGGAAUCGCUAGUAAUCGCAGAUCAGCACGCUGCGGUGAAUACGUUCCCGGGCCUU